CAGAGUUCGUGCCCUCACGGGUAGAUCUCCCACCCUGUGUUAUUAUACCUUUGUUGCUUUGGCGGGCCGCCCUCGGCUACCGGCCCCGGCUGGUACGCGCCCGCCAGAGGACCACAACUCUGUAUUAAAUGUCGUCUGAGUACUAUAAAAUAGUUA
rnacentral:misc_RNA from 1 species